CACGCAGGCGGUCUGAUCAGCGGAGGGUACAAGCUCGGGGGCUCAACCCCGAAGUCGCUCUCCGAACUGUCAGACUAGAGCACGGGAGAGGGUAGUGGAAUUCCCGGUGUAGCGGUGGAAUGCGUAAAUAUCGGGAGGAACACCAGUGGCGAAGGCUGCUACCUGGAACGUUGCUGACGCUGAGGCGCGAAAGCCAGGGGAGCGAACG
rnacentral:rRNA from 1 species